UACGUAGGUGGCAAGCGUUGUCCGGAUUUAUUGGGUUUAAAGGGUGCGUAGGCGGCUUGAUAAGUCAGUGGUGAAAGCCGAUCGCUCAACGAUCGAACUGCCAUUGAUACUACCAGGCUUGAGUAUAGAUGAGGUAGGCGGAAUUGACAGUGUAGCGGUGAGAUGCAUAGAUAUUGUCAAGAACACCAAUUGCGAAGGCAGCUUACUAAGUUAUAACUGACGCUGAGGCACGAAAGUGCGGGGAUCAAACAGG
rnacentral:rRNA from 1 species